GAGCAUGUAGCUCAGAGGGAGAGCACUGCAAUGGCAUUGUAGAGGUCAGGAGUUCGAUUCUUCUCAUGUUCACCA
rnacentral:tRNA from 1 species